rnacentral:sRNA from 1 species
GUUUUCGAAACAAAUAAAACAGAAAAGCGAACCUACACAAUGACUCUAAAAGUUAUUCUUGGAGAACACCAGAUCACCCGAACUGAAUUGUUAGGCGGGAUUGCAACCGUAUCUGGGUGCGGUGCCGUAGUGUACUGCGUAUCCAAGUUCUGGGGCUAUGGGGCAAUUGCGCCCUAUCCUCAGAGUGGAGGGAACCGAGUUACACGCGCAUUGCAACGGGCUGUCAUUGACAAAACGAAAACCCCGAUAGAGACACGUUUCUAUCCGCUUGACAGCCUGCGUACCGUGACGCCUAAGCGUGUCGCAGACAAUCUGUCAACGCUAGGCUUAUCGGUAUGGGACACAAGGACCCGCAAUACCAAUUAGUCCAACUGUGUAUAAACCUACAAUGCCACGCGUCCAUUGGCCAGUAACCAGUGACGCAGAUGUACCAGAGGUGAGCGCGCGCCAAUACACACUGCCUAUCGUGAGUGACGGUUUCCGAUAUGAGCCUGGUGUAGGCGUUAAAAGUGGAAGUCCAACAACCACGCCACAUAACACCCAAUACAAUGGAUGUGUCGAAUUUACAGCUCUGACCUUUGAGCAUCCUGAUGCUGAACCUGAAGAUUUGUUCCGUUUAAUCGGACCGAAGUGCGGUGAUGAUGGUCUUUCCCGGGCUAUCAUUCAAAAAUCAAUUAAUCGCGCUGCCAAGUGUUUCGGCCUCGAACUCAAAGUUGAACGAUACAAUCCAGAGAUAGGUCUUUGUUUCCUGUCUCGUGUAUUUGUGGACCCGCUCGCAACUACGACCACAAUUCAAGACCCACUGCGUACUCUGCGAAAACUACAUCUUACAACAAGAGAUCCAACGAUACCAUUAGCUGAUGCGGCUUGCGACCGUGUCGAAGGCUAUCUCUGUACCGAUGCGCUUACUCCGUUAAUUUCGGAUUAUUGCAAAAUGGUACUACGACUCUACGGGCCCACUGCUUCAACUGAGCAGGUGAGGAACCAACGUAGAAGCCGGAAUAAAGAGAAGCCCUACUGGUUGACUUGUGACGGAUCAUGGCCACAGCAUCCGCAAGACGCCCAUUUGAUGAAGCAGGUUUUAAUCAAACGUAUUGACGAAGAUCAGGUCGAUGCACUCAUUGGGCGUUUUGCCGCAAUGAAGGAUGUCUGGGAGAAAAUUACACAUGACAGCGAGGAGAGCGCCACUGCGUGUACGUUUGAUGAAGACGGCGUUGCGCCGAGCUCCGUGGAUGAAUCGUUACCAAUGUUAAACGAUGCCAAGCAAACUCGCGCUAAUCCAGGAACUUCCCGACCGCAUUCAAACGGCGGUGGAAGCAGCCAUGGGAAUGAGCUACCAAGACGCACCGAACAACGUGCGCAGGGACCUCGACAACCUGCACGCUUGCCUAAACAAGGCAAAACUAACGGUAAGUCGGAUGGUAACAUCACUGCUGGAGAAACCCAGCGUGGUGGCAUACCUAGAGGGAAAGGCCCCCGAGGAGGCAAAACCAACACUCGAAGAACGCCUCCGAAAGCUGGAGCUCAGCCACAGCCUUCCAACAACCGGAAGUGACCCCCCACCCGCAAAACUGUAGGUGGCUCUUAGGAGCACCCACACCCGUUCUAGCCCGAAAGGGCAGAGGU